rnacentral:pre_miRNA from 1 species
GUUCUACUCCCUCCGUUUGGAAUUACUUGUCGCACAAAUGGAUGUAUCUAGACGUAUUUUAGUUCUAGAUACAUCUAUUUCCGAGACAAGUAAUUCCGAACGGAGGGAGUACAAC